rnacentral:tRNA from 1 species
GUGCUGAUGGCUCAGUGGUAGAGCCACUCGCUACAGGAGCGAGAGGUCCCGGGUUCGAUCCCCGAGCGGUGCA